AUGCACGCUGGCGGCGUGCCUAAUACAUGCAAGUCGAGCGAACAGACGAGGAGCUUGCUCCUCUGACGUUAGCGGCGGACGGGUGAGUAACACGUGGAUAACCUACCUAUAAGACUGGGAUAACUUCGGGAAACCGGAGCUAAUACCGGAUAAUAUAUUGAACCGCAUGGUUCAAUAGUGAAAGACGGUUUUGCUGUCACUUAUAGAUGGAUCCGCGCCGCAUUAGCUAGUUGGUAAGGUAACGGCUUACCAAGGCAACGAUGCGUAGCCGACCUGAGAGGGUGAUCGGCCACACUGGAACUGAGACACGGUCCAGACUCCUACGGGAGGCAGCAGUAGGGAAUCUUCCGCAAUGGGCGAAAGCCUGACGGAGCAACGCCGCGUGAGUGAUGAAGGUCUUCGGAUCGUAAAACGCUGUUAUUAGGGAAGAACAAAUGUGUAAGUAACUAUGCACGUCUUGACGGUACCGAAUCAGAAAGCCACGGCUAACUACGU
rnacentral:rRNA from 1 species